rnacentral:lncRNA from 1 species
GUUACUAUAUGUAACAACUGAGAUAAUGUAAAGUGAAAUAUGGCAUUCAUGGUAGACGAAGUGCAGGUAGUAAAAAACCAGUAGUUAGUUACUCAGCACAAUGCUACUAAACAAUACAAAGUCAGGUCUAACAAGACUUGCACAAUUUAUCCAAACUUUUGAAUGGAUAGCCCCAUUUCUAGAAAAUCAAUCUAUCCUGAUAGGAUGGAAUUUCUAAGUUGGUGAUAACUGCAACUUCAAUUUUGAAUAAUUACAGAAAAUAAUGGGACGUUCCCUCUCUAGCAUUUGCACCUAUGCAGGUAAAAAACAAAGACAGUUCCAUCCCUUUGGAGUUCUUGAGAGUCAUCGAAUGGAAGUUCAAAGUAUUGCAAAACAAUUUGUCAUCUUGAUUGAAUGUGUCACUUGUUUCUUCUCAAAACAGAUCCUCUUUAUUCAUAUACUCCAAGUACUAGAACAAAUAAACAGACAAAUAAAUAUAAGAAUAAGUAAUAACACAGUCAUGCUCAAAGACAGAGAACACCGAUUAAAGCAAUAACAGAUGUCACACUGAUUGACUGCUGUAACAACAAACUUAGUCUCAUCCCAUAAGAAGAUCACAAAUCUAAGUGAACAUUCAAAGAUCAAAGACUAAGUGUAAAGUAUGAAAUACCUGCAAUCGGCCAACAUGCAAUUUAAGAACAAUAUCAACAAACGUGACUCCUUUACCAAUGCUUAGAAGGUGGAAGUCACUCUUCUCAGCACCUCUCUCCAAAGGCUCCAGUUGUUCCAAUUCAGAAAACAAAUAAAAUUUAUGUUAGGCCACUCACAAAUUAAAAUAAUACAAUUUAUACGAUAAAUAUACAAUAUUGUAAAACAUAGAAUUAACAGAAAUAAAUAUUACUCCAAUCUAAGGUAGCAAUUGCCGCAGACAAUGGAACAGUUUAGUCCUAACCCUUUUAGUGGAAUAAAAAUUCUCAUUAGCUAACUUUUAAGUUCAGUUUGAAUAACCUAUUCCACUACCCAUAUAUUGUGCUCCAUCUGAUUUUACAUCACUUACUUAAUGCUCCCCAAGUGUUGUUUUUAUAGAAAAAGAAAACGUUUUAUCCAAUACAAACUUUAAAAUUCUUGGCAUGUCAUACCAAUUAAAUCAUCAGUCAAAACAUCAUUUUCCACAACCCAAGGAGAUACAAUUACCUUAUAAAAAUAUGAACAAUUAGAGACUCAUAAAACCCCUACACUUAAGCAUUUGUCCUGUUGGGGAAACCUCAAAGAAAAAGAACAAAGAAAACAGACUAACUAACCAAAACUGCACUCAAAAAUCUGCUCACAAUUUGGCAUAGAAAAAACAAUCUAUAUUCCUAGUUCAAAACUGUAAAAGACAAGAAUGAUCUAAUCUAAGUUUCAAAAAACACCCAUAUCAAUAAAAUCAAAUAGCAAACAAUCCAAAAAUACAUCUAAACCAGAAUUGAUUUCACCAAGAUAGUGUUUAAAUCUCUUUCUCUCAAGUGUUUCAGUGAAGGUGUUUAAGUAUCGGCACAUCAUCCAAUUAAAAUAGAAAUGAAUUCCAGAUCAUAGGACUUCAAUUAAGGUUUCUAGUGUGUCCUAGGUAUAGGUGAGGUAAAAAGAGGUGUACAAACGUAAACUCAUACAAGUUAAUUCGCAAGAUUCAUAAGCAUGGUCCUACAAAUGUGAUGCUUUAACCACUUUACAACAAAGUCAUACCUAAAAGAAACACAUCAAUUUUUUUAAUAAUUACAACUUCUUAAGAAAUUACACAUUUCAUGAUUUUCGAUUCUAAUAUAUUAAAAGAUCAUCUAAAUUGCUAGAAAAUAUGGAGACAUAAGUAUUAAUUAGCAUUAAACUACAUGUAAUAUACAACUCCAAAAUCUAUCCGAGAGACUACACUCACUUGACGAGAAGUAAAGGAGAAAAAAAACAUACGAUUUUAAUUGGCAUGAAUAAAACCAAUACAAGAAUAUACACUAUACUUUAAAUACGACUAUAAUAAGGGAAAAAUAGGUGAGGUAAUUGGCAGCAAUAUUCAUUUCUGUCAUAGUGCUAAAAAGGUCAAGUUAGAUGACUUGUCUCCAAUAGUUUAUUUUCUUCAAAAAUAUUAAAUAUUCUCCUAAAUUUAAGAAUACUAUGGAAAAAUAUUUCAAAGUUCAUAGACUUACAAAUAUUUGAAAUUUUCUCAUUAAAGUUAUGCAUGCACAGACUUAAAAUAUUUUAUCAAAUAAAUAUUUCUUAAAUAUUGAGCAAGUUCGAGUUCUGAAGAUAUAGAAGAACAAAAUUAAUUCUUUCAUAAAGAAUUCAAGAAUAGGAAUGAUGUUAAGGAUGUUGUCAAACGCAAGCUGUUAGGGAGCCGAUCUUUUGCCAUUGUUGUUCCAUUGCUACAAGGAAACUUUUAUGAUACCAAAAGUGAGAAAUGAAAAAAAAAAAAAACAUUUAUUAUUAUUAUGGUAACUAAAACCAUUAUUUGCUUCAAAGACCAAAAAUACAAUUAUCUAGAUGAUAAAGUGAUACAUGAUAUUUUUGUAAGUAAAUCAUUUGGGUUUUCAAAACUUAGACUUCAACACAAAAAAAAUUACAUAAGAAUGGUGGCAAAUCUAAAAGGUUCUUCAAGAAUGUCAUUGUUUAUUAUGAAAUUUCAAAAUAGUAAAAGAUAAAAAGAUAACCCAAUCAAAAAAUUAAGUUAUGACAUUAUCUAUAUGUAAAUUUCUUUUUUUCAUAAUAUUUAUAUUAAUUAAAAGGAAUUCUAAUUGAAAAGCCUAAAAAACUAAGUUCUUCAAUGUUUAACUACAAUGAUGUUUAUAAAAAAUUAUAUCAUUUUUAGUUGACACAAAAAAAAAAUAUACAUUAGUCUAUCUUAUUUAUUCAUUGUUACAUGUGAUUGGAUCCAAACAUUUGAUUUUAUUGAUUAGAACCACCUUCUUAACAUAGUAAAAAAUGUUCUAUUUAAAAAUGACUAUUUUCUUAAAUAGAAAGAUAGUUAUUUACACAAUAGUUAUUUCCACAAAAAAGUGUGCUUGUUUAUUUGUGUGCAAGUGGAACUUAUUUUAUUCAUACUAUCAUGAGAGAUCUUUAAAAAGAGGAAAACAAUGAUUCAUAGAAAGACGUUAGGUAGGAAUACUUCUAAUAAUAUCAUAACUUUUAAUCUUGAAUGAUCCUACAACUUUAAUAGAGUAGAUAAUGUUCAGACGACCAUUAUUACAAAAAUUACCUAAACAAUCAUCGUCUCACAAACCUAUUUUGUUGCUAUUUCCUUUAAACCUAUUUUGGGAUCAACUUCUAUGUUGUUAUUAUAGUUAAUAUAUUACUAGAAGUAUAAGUAUCUAGCUAACACUAAUAAGACUAAAGGCAUGUUUAGUUGCUUCCUUUUUCUACUAACCAUGAUUUUUUUUUCUUUUCUUUAAAACUCUUAAGAUGUUCCAAAUAAAAUAUGUUCCACUUGCAUAAAGACUUCCUUGUGAAAAGAACUUGUUUAGACGGCUUAAAAAAUAUUAAUUUUUCAUGAAAACAAUUUUUACUUUGCUAAGAUGGUUCUAAUUAAUAAAAUCUAAUACAUACAGAUGUAACAAUAUAAAAAAAUAAACAUAAUAUACAUAAUUCUUUUGUAUGUCAACAAAAAAUAAAUUUAAUUUAUAAACAUAAUUGUAGUAAAACAUUUAAAAACCUAGUUUUUCAAGUUUCUCAACAAAAUUUCUUGUAGAAUAAUAUAAAAUGUUAUGAGAAAAGAAAUUUAACAAUUAUACUUAGUUUUAAAAUCUCAUGAGAUAAAGACAACAAAAUUCUUGAAAAACCUUUUAAAUUUACCACCAUUCUUAUGUUAUUUUUUUUGUAUUGAAGUCUAAGUUUUGAAAACCCAAAUGAUCUACUUCCAAAAAUAUCAUAAAUCAUCUCAUCAUCUAGAUAACCACAUCUUUUAUCUUUAAAGCAAAGAAUUGCAUUAGUUACCAAAAUUUCCAAAAUAAUUUUUGGCUAAUAAUAAAUAUGAUAAUUUCCUUUACCACUUCCAGUAACAAAAAAGUUUGUUUGACACAAAAUAACAAGACAAAAGGUAUCCAUUGACAAGCUCAAGAGCAUCAUUCCUAUUAUUGAUUUGUCCUUUUUAUAUACUUUUUAAAACCCAAACAUUUGUACUAUUAAAAAAUAUUUAUUUAAUAAUAUUUUAAGUCUAUGCAUCUUUAGUAAAAAUGAUUCAAAUGUUUAUAAUACAUGAGUUUUGAAAUAUAUCUAGUUAGUAUUCUGUAAUGAGGGGAAGUACCUAAUAAUUCCAAACGAACAAAACUUCUAUAAAGAGUCAUAUGAAAGAUACAGCUUAACUUUUUGAGCAAUAUGACUUAAAUGCAUUGAUUGCUUCCAAUGCUUGUAAAGUAUCACGAGAGUGAUUGAAUCUCUAAAAUAUUUCUUUCUUAAGGUCUUAAUAGAUCCCUUUCACUUUCAUCUAUUUAUAAACAGACGAGCAUGGAAGAUCAAGAGUCUACAAUAAACACCUAUGUGCAAACAUAGGUACUACUCCAUAUACUAAACUAGCAUACUGCCCUUAAAUAAGCUUAAUAAUGAUGCAUAUGUAUAGUUAUUCUAACAAUCUACUUAGGUAUAAUUAAUCUAACAAUCUACAUCAACUCAAUUUAAGAUCUCUUUAAGAUGAGAGUGAGCAAUGGUAAACAACAAAAUUCAAGGACUAAGAAGUCUAAGUAUGACCAUACUCCCCCUCUAAUUGAGGGACAAAAAUGAAACGUGCCGAUAAAAGUGGAAGAGUUGGCUCUCCUUUAUUCAAAGCUAUCCAAACCGAAUUACUGAUAGGGAUGCAAGGGAUGCAGGUAAGAAUCCUAACUCUCUCCCUCAACACUUUAAUAGUCACAACAAUAAAUCAGCAAAGAAUCACCCGGUGCAAGGAUCGGAAUAGACUUUAUCCUGCCCCACUUGAAAGCAGUUAGGUUAUGAUUCCUCAUUCCUUGGGGUUCCAAAAAUAUUGUUCCAUAUUGUUCCAUAUGGUUCCAAAAACACCUUUGCUCCUUCCGUGUCUCCUUGCCCCUCCAAAAGUCUCCCCUUUUCCCUCAUUCUCCCAUUUCGCCUCAUUGCCCCUCCAAAAUCCAAACUUGAGCACAUUAGUAUCACUCUCCUUAACAACAUCGAGUCCACUUUGGCGGUGACUUGCUUCCGUGCUUGCUAAAAAGUCAUGAUGGACUUUUCCCCAAUCCAGCGUAAUCUCCCCCAACCACCCACCCAAUCUGAGGAUCAUGUCAACGCCUCCUAGCUCUCGACUCUCCCAUGUUGACCAGCAAUGUCGAGCAUCCUUUCUUCCUACGACCAUCCCCAUGUUCAACCUUUAGCUCCUCUACCAUCCUUUGAUGGACAAAACUGUGGCUCACAGUAUCGUCAACACUUACGUCUGCAUCAACCUUCCUCCUGUCUAGAAUGGUAAUAGUUGCAUGCACGGAUCCCCCCCCUCUUAGUCUCCUCUACGUUUCUUUGAAUUUCGUACUCAACUAUCGCCUCCACCGUAGCUUCCGCCCCUCACAGAUCUCUCUCCCAUCGCCUUAUCUCGAGAUCAAAGAUCCAUCAAUCGGUGUAGCUCUUUCUAAAUUGCUUCUCGACAGGUCAUUUCAAGCACCACCCCCAUGAAGGGGGUUUUGACAGUCGUCCACUCAAGCAGUCGUCCAUUCAAUAUCUCGUGCAACCUUCAUCACCCACAUCAAAUCCCUUGGGUCCUGAGGUCUCAUAUGGCAUCACAAUACUACCCGUAGGCCCGCCAGAAAUAAUGCUAAGAUUAUCCAUAAACACCUACUCCGAACUCCCUCACGUUUUCCUCCACAAUGGUCAUCGGACUAAUUAAUCCCUUUCGAAAACGCCACCACAGAGGUCACUCUCAAAACGGAUCAACAUCGCCCUCGUUCAUCCAUGGACCUCAGAAUUUCUUCGUCAUGUUGAUCCAAUUCAAAGGGUCGGAGGUCAGGUCCCUCAAAGGCCACCCUUCGCCCUUCGCCACCAAUUGGAUGUUCUUUAACCCUCCCCGUUCCUUUCUGCGUCACCUCCUUUAUUAUUGACUGACCCAAAGCUAGCAUCGGAGCACUCCUCCUUUUACUUGUUUCAUAGGCACAAGCAUCGAUCGCAUCAUUUCUAGGACGCACUUGUUUAGCACAAGCAUCUAUCGUAUCGGUUUUGGAAUGUCUUUCCGCUUCGCUAUCAAUUCUUGUACGUUACCUGCUAAUUCCGCCUUCAACCCACAACAUAUACGGCCAAUUCAAGGUGUCUCCUCCGAACAGAACCGCAAGAAUCCUAACUCUCCCUCACACAAAUACACUUUAGUAAUUACAACAAGAAAUCAAAGAAUUCGAAUUGUAUUCAUAGCAAAGAAUCAAGAAUAGAAUUUGGGGAACCCAGGUGCUUUACCUCCUUCACCAGGUGCAAGGACCCCGGUAUAGAACUCACCAGUAUCAAACUCCCGCCCCACCUGACUGUUAAGCAGUUAGGUAUUAUUCCUUCUCGCCUUUCUCCUCCCGUAAACCCUCCAAGUCCAAACAAUUACUUUCGUCCAUCUUUAGAAACGAAGAGGGAGGUCUCCCUGGAUUGGCUUGAAAAACGAGAUUUGGGGAUUUCUGAUUAUAAGGUUUCGCAAAAAUAUUGCAAUUUGUCAAUAUUUUCAGUGUUUGAUGUGUCGCAAUGGGCUAUCGCACGGACGAAUCCGCAAUUCACUCGUGAUGGAUGCUUGGAUGGGCGUCGCAAUGAAGGAUCAGAAUACGUGGAGCUUCGAUGAGACGACUCACAAUGGUGAGUGACAAACACGCACCUAAGAUCCGUAUAGCAAUAGGUGGCACGUGGAUGAGCAGGUAUAGAAGGUUCGCACUAACUCUCACUAUGAUGGCCAUCGCUCAACGCAGCAAUCUGGAACCACCGGUCACCAGUCUGAACUGUAACAGGGGAGACAACGACAGACGGUGGCCAACAAAGGUCAACAACAAUGGAAAGCAGAUAAAAAACUAAAAAAAAAAUACAACAGAGGAUGAGACUAGAAUAACAGGUCAUCGCUAAACGCAGCAAUCUUGAACCCCUGGUCAACGGUCUAAACUGUACUAGUGGAGACAACGGCAGAUAGUGGCCCACAAAGGUCAACAACAAUGAAAAGCCAAAAAACAACAAAAAGAAUAGAAUAGAUGAUGAGACUAAAAGAACGGGACUACUGUUUCCAGGAAAAAAAAUUAGCGCUGUGAAGGUGAUGAAGGCCAACGACAACAUGAAAGACAGAAUAAAUAGACUCCGCCAACUUGCUCUAAUAACAUGUUGAGAUUGAUACGAUAAAAUAUUUGUUGUAGAUUUAUUGAUCCCUUUCACGUUCUUCUAUUUCUGUAGAUAGAAAAUUAAGGGAUCCUUUUCACUUUCUUCUAUUUAUAAUAAAGUUCUGAUUAAGGGUCAACCCUAGACAGACACCUAGGUGCAAACCUAGGUAUUACUCGAUCGAGUAGCACAACCCUUAAGAAGGCUUAAUAAUUAUACAUAGGUAUAAUUAUACAUAUUAUUGCGAAUAUGGAAAACUAGUAGUCUUAGAACUAUCAAGAAAAAUUUAAAGACUUCAAAGCACUAUGGAGAUCUUGUGUUAUGAACCAUAAAAUUAGUCAAGAAAAUCAAAUUAUUUUAGUAUUCUAAAAGGGGAAAAACAUAGUCUCUCAAAACCCAUGUUAAAAUUUCUUCAAUAAAUCGACACGAUAUUUUAGUACUCUAAAAGGGGAAAAACAUAACCUUAAGUCUGGAACUUGAUCUUCUAGUUGUAUUUUUGUCCAAUGACAGAAAAACACAAUGUAUCCAAGAGUUUUUAUGCUGGCAGAAUUGUCCUACGCAUGAGAUGCUUAAAUCCAAGACUUUUAUAUGCUGGAAAGAGUGUCCUCCGCGUGAGAUAUUUAGUUCCCUUUACAAGAGAGUGAUACCUGCAGAAAAAGCAUUUUAACUUUUUUAAAUACUUAAAACUUUUUAAGAAAUUAGACCUCUCAAAAUUGACUUUGAAUCUUAGUAUUUUAAAAGUUCACACCGAAACAGCUCGAUGAGAAUGGUUAGAAAACCGAAAUAAUAAAAGGAGAAAUUCGAAAAUAUGGGGAAACAAGAAAUCCCACAGAGAGAAGACCAUCACACGUAAUGAUUAACAUUAGACUCCAGGUAAUACACAACUCCAAGAACUCGAAUGGAGAGGAAACCCCUGCUUGAAAAUAAGUAAUGAGGAAAUUUUAUUUGAAACAAACCGUGCCUUUGGUAUAUUUUUACAAUUAUGGUUUUUGGAUGUUUUACAUGAACAUAAUCAUGCACUUUUUAGGUGAGCGCAGCUGAAAGUGCUGGUGUAAUAUGACUAUUUUAUAUAUUUUCUGAAGAUACCACUGCACGACAACACAAUCAACUGUACUUCUGAACAAGAACUCAACCAAACAAGCAUCGAUUAAGAAAAUUUUAAAAUUUGCCAAUGCAAUUAUAACAAAAACCAAAAAUCAGCAUGUCUCCAAGUUUCAACUAGAAGAUAAGAAACAGAGGUCCAACUAGGACAAAGAAAAAACGGAGAAAAACAAAAUUGAGAAAGAGUAUAAUUUACCUAACCAGAUCCGACUAUGAAGUUGUUGAUUGGAACGAGGAUGAGCUUGACGAAAAAAACAACAAAUCCCAUCACAACAAAACCAAUGGCUGUACGCACGACACCUUAGAGAAUUCUGAAAUACCAAACCCAUCCAAUAGAUCAGAUCCACUGAACAUAAAAUAUUUGAAGUUUUUUAGGACAAUUGACUUGUAGAUAAUAUGCCACUCACAAAUUAAAAUAAUAUAAUUUAUAACAUGAACAAAAAAUAUUGUGAAACAUAGUUAAGAGAAUUAAAUAUUCCUCCAAUCUAAGGUAGCAUUUGACAGGAGCAAUGGAACAGUUUGGUCCUAUUCCCCUUGGUUCCACCUUUUCAGUUCGAAAACCUAUUCCAUUACUAAUAUAUUUCAAUGAUUUCCCUAUUCCAACUUUGUUUUAAAAAUUAUAUGAAAAUGAACUCAAAAAAAUGGAGACCGGCUCAGAACACGUUUUCACGAGACAAGAAAGUAAAUGGAAGCAGGAACCACGGACUUUUAAUCGUCAUUUUCAGAUAAAAAGAUCUUAACUUUGUACACGAAAUGAAGAAAUUAAGGGUUUAGAGUUUAACUGUUCCGGUGGUCAAUCACAUUUACUUUCUGAUUCACAGAUUCAAAUACAUUUCCCAGUGACGAUAACAUUUAAUCAUCGUUUUCAGUUAAAGAUGCAAACUUUGUAAAGUGAAAUGAAGACAUUUAAGGUUUAGGGUUUACCUGUCACAGUGGUAAGCUUUGCGAUCUCCCAAUAAUGCCAAUCACAUUCACUUUCUGAUUCGCAGAUUCAAAAACAUUUCCCAGUGACAAGAACAUUUAAUCAUCUUUUUCGGUUAAAGAUCCAAACUUUGUAAGGUUUAGGGUUUACCUGUUGCAGUGGUAAGCUUUGAGGUCUCCUUAUAAUGCCAAACACAUUCACUGUCGCAGAUUCAAAAACAUCUCCCACUGACGAGAACAUUUAAUCAUCAUUUUCGUUUAAAGAUUCAAACUUUGUAAGAUGAAACGAAGACACUUAGGUUUAAGGUUUACCUGUUCCGGCGGUGGUGUUAAGCUUUGCGGUCGCCGCAUAAUGGAAAUGAUUCAGAGACUCAAAAACAUCUCGGGCGGAGGAGAAGAUGAAAUUAUCAAGCCAAUCUCAUUCUCUUUGUAUUUGUAAUGGUGUGAGUCCUGAACCCCGUUUUAAGCUUUCUCAUUCAAAUGUGUAAUUAUUACAUUAGAAACGGUAAAAUCAAAAGUGCGUUGGCGAUUCAUUUCCCCUCUUCACGUUCUGUCACUUCGCUGACAUUGGAAAAAGCAGCUAUCACUUCGCUGACAUUAUGAGGCGUGCAAGAAAUGUAUUAAUAGAGUCACAGAUAGUCUAUCCCUAUCAGUCAGAGCAUCAUAAACAAUAUUUCAAUAAAAAAAAAUAGAACAAAAUACCCAUGGUAAACCAAAUUAAGUAACCGUUACGAAAUUAAAUAUGAUAUUUCGAUCUAUUCUCUAUUUUGGGAUUGAUAAUGAUAUUUUAACACCAUUUUGACACUAUUUUGAUACUGUAAAUUUGUUAAAAUGUGAUUGGACGAUUUCAAAUUAAAAAAGU